GGGCGGGUGGCGGAACGGUAUACGCGGCGGACUUAAAAUCCGCUGCCGCAAGGCUUGUGGGUUCGAGUCCCACCCCGCCUA
rnacentral:tRNA from 1 species